CUACGGGGGGCUGCAGUGGGGAAUAUUGCACAAUGGGCGCAAGCCUGAUGCAGCCAUGCCGCGUGUAUGAAGAAGGCCUUCGGGUUGUAAAGUACUUUCAGCGGGGAGGAAGGGAGUAAAGUUAAUACCUUUGCUCAUUGACGUUACCCGCAGAAGAAGCACCGGCUAACUCCGUGCCAGCAGCCGCGGUAAUACGGAGGGUGCAAGCGUUAAUCGGAAUUACUGGGCGUAAAGCGCACGCAGGCGGUUUGUUAAGUCAGAUGUGAAAUCCCCGGGCUCAACCUGGGAACUGCAUCUGAUACUGGCAAGCUUGAGUCUCAUAGAGGGGGGUAGAAUACCAGGUGUAGCGGUGAAAUGCGUAGAGAUCUGGAGGAAUACCGGUGGCGAAGGCGGCCCCCUGGACGAAGACUGACGCUCAGGUGCGAAAGCGUGGGGAGCAAACAGGAUUAGAUACCCUUGUAGUC
rnacentral:rRNA from 1 species